GACGAACGCUGGCGGCGUGCCUAACACAUGCAAGUCGAACGGAACUUCUUUAAAAGAUUUCUUCGGAAUGAAUUUGAUUAAGUUUAGUGGCGGACGGGUGAGUAACGCGUGAGUAACCUGCCUCUGAGAGGGGAAUAACAUUCUGAAAAGAAUGCUAAUACCGCAUAACAUAUAUUUAUCGCAUGGUAGAUAUAUCAAAGAUUUAUCGCUUAGAGAUGGACUCGCGUCCGAUUAGUUAGUUGGUGAGGUAACGGCUCACCAAGGCGACGAUCAGUAGCCGGCCUGAGAGGGUGAACGGCCACAUUGGGACUGAGACACGGCCCAAACUCCUACGGGAGGCAGCAGUGGGGAAUAUUGCACAAUGGGGGAAACCCUGAUGCAGCGACGCCGCGUGAGUGAUGAAGUAUUUCGGUAUGUAAAACUCUAUCAGCAGGGAAGAUAAUGACGGUACCUGACUAAGAAGCACCGGCUAAAUACGUGCCAGCAGCCGACGG
rnacentral:rRNA from 1 species